rnacentral:rRNA from 1 species
UACGUAGGUCCCGAGCGUUGUCCGGAUUUAUUGGGCGUAAAGCGAGCGCAGGUGGUUUAUUAAGUCUGGUGUAAAAGGCAGUGGCUCAACCAUUGUAUGCAUUGGAAACUGGUAGACUUGAGUGCAGGAGGGGAGAGUGGAAUUCCAUGUGUAGCGGUGAAAUGCGUAGAUAUAUGGAGGAACACCGGUGGCGAAAGCGGCUCUCUGGCCUGUAACUGACACUGAGGCUCGAAAGCGUGGGGAGCAAACAGG